AUUGAACGCUGGCGGCAUGCCUUACACAUGCAAGUCGAACGGCAGCACGGGUGCUUGCGCCUGGUGGCGAGUGGCGCACGGGUGAGAAAUACAUCGGAACAUGUCCUGUAGUGGGGGAUAGCCCGGGGAAAGCCGGAUUAAUACCGCAUAGGAUCCCCGGAUGAAAGCGGGGGUCCGUAGGGCCUAGCGCUUUUGGGUUGGCCGGCGGCCGAUUAGCUUGUUGGUGGGGUAAUGGCCUACCAAGGCGACGAUCAGUAGCCGGUCGGAGAGGGGGACCACCCACACUGGGACGGGACCACGGCCCAGACUCCUACGGGAGGGAGCAGUGGGGAACUUGGGACAAUGGGCGAAAACCUGACCCAGCAAUGCCGCGUGUGUGAAGAAGGCCUUGGGUUUGUAAAGCACUUUUUUCCGGAAAGAAACCCUUUGCCCUAAUACGGUCGGAGGAUGACGGUACCGGAAGAAUAAGCACCGGCUAACUACGUG
rnacentral:rRNA from 1 species